GAUGAACGCUGGCGGCGUGCCUAAUACAUGCAAGUCGAGCGAACGGACGAGAAGCUUGCUUCUCUGAUGUUAGCGGCGGACGGGUGAGUAACACGUGGAUAACCUACCUAUAAGACUGGGAUAACUUCGGGAAACCGGAGCUAAUACCGGAUGAUAUUUUGAACCGCAUGGUUCAAAAGUGAAAGACGGUCUUGCUGUCACAUAUAGAUGGAUCCGCGCUGCAUUAGCUAGUUGGUAAGGUAACGGCUUACCAAGGCAACGAUGCAUAGCCGACCUGAGAGGGUGAUCGGCCACACUGGAACUGAGACACGGUCCAGACUCCUACGGGAGGCAGCAGUAGGGAAUCUUCCGCAAUGGGCGAAAGCCUGACGGAGCAACGCCGCGUGAGUGAUGAAGGUCUUCGGAUCGUAAAACUCUGUUAUUAGGGAAGAACAUAUGUGUAAGUAACUGUGCACAUCUUGACGGUACCUAAUCAGAAAGCCACGGCUAACUACGUG
rnacentral:rRNA from 1 species